rnacentral:rRNA from 1 species
UACGUAGGGGGCAAGCGUUGUUCGGAUUUAUUGGGCGUAAAGAGCGUGUAGGCGGUUUGGUAGGUCCGUUGUGAAAACUCGAGGCUCAACCUCGAGACGCCGAUGGAAACCAUCAGACUAGAGUCCGGAAGAGGAGAGUGGAAUUCCUGGUGUAGCGGUGAAAUGCGCAGAUAUCAGGAAGAACACCCGUGGCUAAGGCGGCUCUCUAGUACGGUACUGACGCUGAGACGCGAAAGCGUGGGGAGCGAACAGG